CAAUCAAGAAAAUCCUCACACAAUUUAUUAGCUCUUCUUCUCACAAAAAUCAGCAACUCAAAACUCUGUUAACAUGGCUAAAAAAUGCCUAUCUCACAAACUCUCUUUCUUUUUUGUUGUUCUCCUUCUGACACUGACUGUUGAUUCAUUUUGGUCCUCAAACACUCAAGUGAUGGCUUUGCGAAACUUACCUUUAGAAGUAGAGAUGAUUAAGCAGAUUCUAAUCCCAGAUAUUAUCCGCCGAAAGAAAACUUGUCGAGAAAAAUGCGUAACAAAUGCUGAUUGCGUAGCAUGGUGUUCGCAAUGUCGAUUUUCUGGUCCUAAGUCGAAGCAUAAGUUAUGUUUGGUUUGGAAAUAACUAGCUUGAAUCUCAUAUGAUAAACGUAUUUUUAUCUGCUCCUUUUGAGCUUGUGUCAUUAGUAAGUGUGUACGAUAUAGUACAAUUGACUAUUUACCGUUCCAAAUAAAUAUUUGAUGGACAUCAACUCCUAAAUUAGAAAAUAGUCGUAGGUCUUACUAUUUGUGAUCUACAUGAUCACAUGUAUGACUAUGUAAAACUAAUAUUAAUGAUAUGUUCUUUUGUAUUUUCUUUACUUUA